UNAUGAGUAACGACAAUGGUGGAAAACACCCACGCCGAAAGACCAAGGGUUCCUGGCAACGUUAAUCGACGCAGGGUUAGUCGGUUCCUAAGGCGAGGCUGAAAAGCGUAGUCGAUGGAAACAGGUUAAUAUUCCUGUACUUGGUUACUGCGAUGGAGGGACGGAGAAGGCUAGGCCAGCUUGGCGUUGGUUGUCCAAGUUUAAGGUGGUAGGCUGAAAUCUUAGGUAAAUCCGGGGUUUCAAGGCCGAGCUGAUGACGAGUCGUCUUUAGAUGACGAAGUGGUUGAUGCCAUGCUUCAAGAAAAGCUUCUAAGCUUCAGGUAACCAGGAACUGUACCCCAAACCGACACAGGUGGUCGGGUAGAGAAUACUAAGGCGCUGAGAGAACUCGGGUGAAGGAACAGGCAAAAUGGCACCGUAACUUCGGGAGAAGGUGCGCCGGCUAGGGUGAAGGAUUUUCCGUAAGCUCUGGCUGGUCGAAGAUACCAGGCCGCUGCGACUGUUUAUUAAAACACAGCACUCUGCAAACACGAAAGUGGACGUAUAGGUGUGACGCCUGCCNGUGCCGGAAGGUUAAUUGAUGGGGUUAGCGCAAGCGAAGCUCUUGAUCGAAGCCCCGGUAAACGGCGGCCGUAACAAUAACGGUCCUAGGUAGCGAAAUUCCUUGUCGGGUAAGUUCCGACCUGCACNAAUGGCGUAACGAUGGCGGCGCGUUCCACCCGAGACUCAGUGAAAUUGAAAUCGCUGUGAAGAUGCAGGUAUCCGCGGCUAGACGGAAAGACCCCGUGAACCUUACUGUAGCUUUGCACUGGACUUUGAGCCGCUUGUGUAGGAUAGGUGGGAGGCUUUGAAGCGUGGACGCCAGUCGCGUGGAGCCAUCCUUGAAAUACCACCUGGCAUGCUUGAGGUUCUAACUCUGGUCCGUAAUCCGGAUCGAGGACAGUGUAUGGUGGCAGGUUUGACUGGGCGGUCUCCUCCUAAAGAGUAACGGAGGAGUACGAAGGUGCGCUCAGACCGGUCGGAAAUCGGUCGCAGAGUAUAAAGCAAAAGCGCGCUUGACUGCGAGACAGUCGUCGAGCAGGUACGAAAGUAGGUCUUAGUGAUCCGGUGGUUCUAUGGAAGGGCCAUCGCUCAACGGAUAAAGGUACCCCGAUAACAGGCUGAUACCGCCCAAGAGUUCAUAUCGACGGCGGUGUUUGGCACCUCGAUGUCGGCUCAUCGCAUCCUGGGCUGAAGCCGGUCCCAAGGGUAUGGCUGUUCGCCAUUUAAAGUGGUACGCGAGCUGGGGAACGUCGUGAGACAGUUCGGUCCCUAUCUGCCGUGGACGUUUGAGAUUUGAGAGGGCUGCUCCUAGUACGAGAGGACCGGAUGGACGAACCUCUGGUGUUCCGGUUGUCACGCCAGUGGCAUUGCCGGGUAGCUAUGUUCGGAAAAAGAUAACCGCUGAAAGCAUCUAAGCGGGAAACUUCCGCCUCAAGAUGAGAUCUCACUGGAACUUGAUUCCCUGAAGGGCCGUCGAAGACUACGACGUUGAUAGGCUGGGUGUGUAAGCGUUGUGAGGCGUUGAGCUAACCAGUACUAAUUGCCCGUGAGGC
rnacentral:rRNA from 1 species